GACGAACGCUGGCGGCGUGCUUAACACAUGCAAGUCGAACGAAGAGCGAUGGAAGCUUGCUUCUAUCAAUCUUAGUGGCGAACGGGUGAGUAACGCGUAAUCAACCUGCCCUUCAGAGGUGGACAACAGUUGGAAACGACUGCUAAUACCGCAUACGAUCUAAUCUCGGCAUCGAGGAUAGAUGAAAGGUGGCCUCUACAUGUAAGCUAUCACUGAAGGAGGGGAUUGCGUCUGAUUAGCUAGUUGGAGGGGUAACGGCCCACCAAGGCGAUGAUCAGUAGCCGGUCUGAGAGGAUGAACGGCCACAUUGGGACUGAGACACGGCCCAGACUCCUACGGGAGGCAGCAGUGGGGAAUCUUCCGCAAUGGACGAAAGUCUGACGGAGCAACGCCGCGUGAGCGAUGACGGCCUUCGGGUUGUAAAGCUCUGUUAAUCGGGACGAAAGGCCUUCUUGCGAAUAGGGAGAAGGAUUGACGGUACCGGAAUAGAAAGCCACGGCUAACUACGUG
rnacentral:rRNA from 1 species